rnacentral:rRNA from 1 species
UACGGGGGGAGCAAGCGUUGUUCGGAUUUACUGGGCGUAAAGGGCGCGUAGGCGGUCGUGACAAGUCACUUGUGAAAUCUCCGGGCUUAACUCGGAACGGUCAAGUGAUACUGUCGGACUAGAGUACAGAAGGGGCAACUGGAAUUCUCGGUGUAGCGGUGAAAUGCGUAGAUAUCGAGAGGAAUACCUGCGGCGAAGGCGGGUUGCUGGGCUGAUACUGACGCUGAGGCGCGAAAGCCAGGGGAGCGAACGGG